GACGAACGCUGGCGGCGUGCUUAACACAUGCAAGUCGAACGGAAAGGCCCUGCUUUUGUGGGGUGCUCGAGUGGCGAACGGGUGAGUAACACGUGAGUAACCUGCCCUUGACUUUGGGAUAACUUCAGGAAACUGGGGCUAAUACCGGAUAGGAGCUCCUGCUGCAUGGUGGGGGUUGGAAAGUUUCGGCGGGUGGGGCUGGACUCGCGGCUUAUCAGCUUGUUGGUGGGGUGGUGGCUUACCAAGGCUUUGACGGGUAGCCGGCCUGUGAGGGUGACCGGCCACAUUGGUACUGAGAUACGGCCCAGACUCCUACGGGAGGCAGCAGUGGGGAAUAUUGCACAAUGGGCGGAAGCCUGAUGCAGCAACGCCGCGUGCGGGAUGACGGCCUUCGGGUUGUAAACCGCUUUCGCCUGUGACGAAGCGUGAGUGACGGUAAUGGGUAAAGAAGCACCGGCUAACUACGUG
rnacentral:rRNA from 1 species